UACAUAGGGGGCAAGCGUUAUCCGGAAUUAUUGGGCGUAAAGAGUGCGUAGGUGGUUUAUUAAGUCUGGUGUGAAAUUUCACGGCUUAACUGUGAAGGGUCAUUGGAAACUGGUAAACUUGAGUACGGUAGAGGUAAGUGGAAUUCCAAGUGGAGCGGUGGAAUGCGUAGAUAUUUGGAGGAACACCAAUGGCGAAGGCAGCUUACUGGGCCGGGACUGACACUGAUGCACGAAAGCGUGGGGAGCAAACAGG
rnacentral:rRNA from 1 species